rnacentral:rRNA from 1 species
UACAGAGGGUGCGAACGUUGUUCGGAAUUACUGGGCAUAAAGCGCGCGUAGGCGGCGACGUAAGUGUAGGGUGAAAUCCCACGGCUCACCCGUGUGAAUUGCCCCGCAUACUGCGUUGCUAGAGUGUGGUAGGGGAGAGCGGAACUCCUGGUGGAGCGGUGAAAUGCGUAGAUAUCAGGAGGAACACCGGUGGCGAAGGCGGCUCUCUGGUCCACAACUGACGCUGAAGUGCGAAAGCUAGGGUAGCGAA